GACGAAGGGGGCUAGCGUUGUUCGGAAUUACUGGGCGUAAAGGGCUCGUAGGCGGCCAACUAAGUCAGACGUGAAAUCCCUCGGCUUAACCGGGGAACUGCGUCUGAUACUGGAUGGCUUGAGAUUGGGAGAGGGAUGCGGAAUUCCAGGUGUAGCGGUGAAAUGCGUAGAUAUCUGGAGGAACACCGGUGGCGAAGGCGACAUCCUGGACCAACACUGACGCUGAGGAGCGAAAGCGUGGGGAGCAAACAGG
rnacentral:rRNA from 1 species